rnacentral:rRNA from 1 species
GUGGGGAAUAUUGGGCAAUGGGGGCAACCCUGACCCAGCGACGCCGCGUGAGGGAAGAAGGCCUUAGGGUCGUAAACCUCUGUUGUGUGGGAAGAAGGAAGUGACGGUACCACACGAGGAAGUCCCGGCUAACUACGUGCCAGCAGCCGCGGUAAUACGUAGGGGACGAGCGUUGUCCGGAAUUACUGGGCGUAAAGGGCGCGUAGGCGGUCAUUUAAGUCAGCUGUGAAAUGGUCCGGCUCAACCGGAUCAUGCGGUUGAAACUGGAUGACUGGAGUGCUGGAGAGGCAAGUGGAAUUCCCAGUGUAGCGGUGAAAUGCGUAGAUAUUGGGAAGAACACCGGUGGCGAAGGCGACUUGCUGGCCAGCAACUGACGCUGAGGCGCGAAAGCCAGGGGAGCAAACGGGAUUAGAUACCCUAGUAGUCC